rnacentral:rRNA from 1 species
CACGUAGGAGGCGAGCGUUGUCCGGAAUCAUUGGGCGUAAAGAGCGCGCAGGCGGCUUGGCAAGUCGGGUGUGAAAUCCCGGGGCUCAACCCCGUGACUGCAUUCGAUACUGUCAGGCUAGAGGUAGGUAGGGGAGAUCGGAAUUCCUGGUGUAGCGGUGAAAUGCGCAGAUAUCGGGAAGAACACCCGUGGCGAAGGCGGCUCUCUGGGACGGUACUGACGCUGAGACGCGAAAGCGUGGGGAGCGAACAGG